AAGAGGCGUGAUGAUACCCAAACCAUACACCUAUCUGUAAUUGAAUGAUGAUUAUACAACCAUGCACUACCAUCUGAUCUCUC
rnacentral:snoRNA from 1 species